rnacentral:rRNA from 1 species
CCUACGGGAGGCAGCAGUGAGGAAUCUUGCACAAUGGACGAAAGUCUGAUGCAGCGACGCCGCGUGAAGGAUGAAGGUCUUCGGAUUGUAAAGCUCUGUUGUAAGGGAAGAACAUUCAGGAUAGGAAAUGAUCUUGAACUGACGGUACCUUACCAGAAAGCCACGGCUAAUUACGUGCCAGCAGCCGCGGUAAU